GGACCUGAAUUCUCAUAAUGAAUACUUGAGCCACAGAAAGAAGAGAUCCUGAAGUCAACCAGGAACUGGUUGACAAUGAUAUGCAUUGACCUCUACUGAGUUUUUGUGGUCAGGAACCUUCUCUGAGCUGUCAUAAUCGUGCUUCAUCAUCUCCAAGCAAGUGGUCAGAUGAAAGCAUGGUGAAGAUGACUAAAUAGAAGAGGCAGGUGGAUGAGAUCAGUUAACCAGCAUCGCCAGAUUUCUCAGCACUGAACUCACUUCAUGUUCAACAGUGGCCAGUCUUGUUAAAUAAUAUUAUGGGAAUAUCCCUAGAGUGUUCUUGCACAUUUCUUCAUGACCUUCAAGGCCAGUAAGCAUGUAGUCUGAAGCCUUUUUUCUACAGCCACUCUUCACUUGCUUAAUCCUGAGAGCUAGCUUAGCAAGAUACCAUGGAGCUGCAGCAAUACGGCCACAUCAGUUCCAGCUGAAGUCUUAGUAGCUGUUUUGGAGAUAGUGUCACAUUCAGCGGGAUGAGUUCUCAAGGCUUACAUCUCAAGAUGACUUAAUCACAGCAAAACAUUUGAAGCAUCUCUUCCUGAGGUGUCUGGGCGUUGCUUUUCCUAGCCACGCCUCCUAAGGAUUCACCAAAGCCACAAACGAAGAAAACAAUUACGUAACUCUGAUUUUGCAGCUGCUAAAGUGGAGGCACUUGGUACUUUUAGAACUACCAGUAAAACAAAGAGAAAAUUCAUCUCUCUCACCCUCCAAACUCAAAUCUGUAUUUGGUUCUGCCACCAUCUUUUCUUUUUUAUUAUACUUUAAGUUCUGAGAUCCAUGUGCAGAAUGUGCAGGUUUGUUACAUAGGUAUACAUGUGCCAUGGUGGUUUUCUGCACCCACCAACCCAUCAUCUACAUUAGGUAUUUUGCCUAAUGCUAUCCUCCCUUUGCUAUCCCUAAUGCUAUCCUCCCCUUGCCCCCCACCCACCAACAGGCCCCGGUGUGUGAUGUUCCCCUCCCUGUGCCCAUAUGUUCUCAUUGUUCAACUCCCACUUAUGAGUGAGAACAUGUGGUGUUUGGUUUUCUGUUCCUGUGUUAGUUUGCUGAGAAUGAUAGUUUCCAGCUGCAACCAUGUCCCUGUAAAGGACAUGAACCCAUUCUUUUUUAUGGCUGCAUAGUAUUCCAUGGCGUAUAUGUGCCACACUUU
rnacentral:lncRNA from 10 species